UAGGGAAUCUUCGGCAAUGGGGGGAACCCUGACCGAGCAACGCCGCGUGAGUGAAGAAGGUUUUCGGAUCGUAAAGCUCUGUUGUUAAGGAAGAACGAGUGUGAGAAUGGAAAGUUCAUACUGUGACGGUACUUAACCAGAAAGGGACGGCUAACUACGUGCCAGCAGCCGCGGUAAUACGUAGGUCCCGAGCGUUGUCCGGAUUUAUUGGGCGUAAAGCGAGCGCAGGCGGUUAGAUAAGUCUGAAGUUAAAGGCAGUGGCUCAACCAUUGUAGGCUUUGGAAACUGUUUAACUUGAGUGCAGAAGGGGAGAGUGGAAUUCCAUGUGUAGCGGUGAAAUGCGUAGAUAUAUGGAGGAACACCGGUGGCGAAAGCGGCUCUCUGGUCUGUGACUGACGCUGAGGCUCGAAAGCGUGGGGAGCGAACAGG
rnacentral:rRNA from 1 species